CAUUUUUUGUAGAAUACAUGACUUCGCGUGAAAUUAUCCAAACUUUUCCACAAUCUAAUCAUGACAGACAAAAAUCGAAACCUCUUUAUUCUCAGAUCACAAAAUGAUUAGACCUCAAAUCCGAUCAUUUAAACAUGUUUAGUUCAUUCAUUUGACAGUAAACAUUGUCUACCUGUUCUAAUAAAUGUAAUACACAGAUUUGUUAAAUCGAUUUGUGCAUGUAAAAAAGAACAGAAUGUUUUGCAAAUGUCAUGUUCCUGUCAACUGAAUGACAACAAACUUAUUUACAAACAUA
rnacentral:lncRNA from 1 species